rnacentral:rRNA from 1 species
CCUACGGGGGGCAGCAGUGAGGAAUAUUGGUCAAUGGGCGAGAGCCUGAACCAGCCAAGUAGCGUGAAGGAUGACGGCCCUACGGGUUGUAAACUUCUUUUAUAAAGGAAUAAAGUGAGGCACGUGUGCCUUUUUGUAUGUACGUUAUGAAUAAGGAUAGGCUAACUCCGUGCCAGCAGCCGCGGUUAGACGUAGGAUCCGAGCGUUAUCCGGAUUUAUUGGGUUUAAAGGGAGCGUAGAGGGGUUGUUAAGUCAGUUGUGAAAGUUUGCGGCUCCACCGUAAAAUUGCAAUUGAUACUGGCAGUCUUGAGUACAGUUGCGGUAGGCGGAAUUCGUUGUGUAGCGG